rnacentral:rRNA from 1 species
GGGCCCGCACAAGCGGUGGAGUAUGUGGUUUAAUUCGAUGCAACGCGAAGAACCUUACCAGGGUUUGACAUCCUGCGAAUCUCUUGGAAACUUGAGAGUGCCUUCGGGAGCGCAGUGACAGGUGGUGCAUGGCUGUCGUCAGCUCGUGUCGUGAGAUGUUGGGUUAAGUCCCGCAACGAGCGCAACCCACGUCUUUAGUUGCCAGCAUUUAGUUGGGCACUCUAGAGAGACCGCCGGUGAUAAACCGGAGGAAGGUGUGGAUGACGUCAAGUCAUCAUGCCCCUUACAUCCUGGGCUACACACGUGCUACAAUGGCCGGUACAGAGAGCAGCCACUACGCGAGUAGGCGCG